GAAUAUAUAUAUAUAUAUAUAUAUAUAUAUAUAUAUAUAUAUAUAUCAACUGAAAUGCCAAUACUGAACAAUCAAUGAACUUUCAGUUAGCUUGGUUAAUAGAGGGGAUAAAAUAUCAAAAUUUGAUUUCACGGGAUGUGGUUUAUCUUUAAUCUAAUUGGAUCGUGUAUUAUAAAAAGCCAUUUGAGAUUAGUAAUAAAAGUUUUCACAUUAAAUGUUUUAAUUGCAUUAAUUCAUUUUUUUGUAAGAAGGAAAUAAAAAAUAGGGAUUUCAAUAAGCUAUCUCCUCAGUUUAUUUUACUUUUUGAUUUUAUGGUUUUAAUUUGUUAUAAACCAAGGAUAUCAGAAAGAAGUUGAUUUUGAUUUGGUGGAGUCGACCCAACUUAUUUUUUAAAAAAUUUCUAGUUUUAUUUGCAGAAUGAUUGCUAAUUAUUGUGGUGUCACCCAGGUAGGUUUGUGUAAUUUUCUGGGUUGUCAGAAACUUGUGCCGGUGGUGAAUCCAUAAGCUCAAAAUAGGAAGAGCGCUCAAUCAAUUAAUGAUUCGAG
rnacentral:lncRNA from 1 species